GCCCGAGUGGCUCAGUCAGUUGAGCAUCUGCUUUCUGCUCAGGUCAUGAACCCAGGGUCCUGGGAUCAAGUCCCAUAUCGGGCU
rnacentral:tRNA from 1 species